rnacentral:rRNA from 1 species
AAGUCGUAACAAGGUUUCCGUAGGUGAACCUGCGGAAGGAUCAUUAAAAAAAGGUAACAUACGCACCUAGCGUAUUACUCCUCUCCUCUCUGCCGCAAGGUAGGGAGUGCUUGAGUCCUUAUAACCCUUUGUGAACAUUAUAUCUUUUGCUUCGGCAGCACGCUCCUUUCGGGGGGUUGGUAAGGCUGCCGAUAGCCCAUUUAAACUAUUUUAUUUUAAAUCAUGAAGUCUGAUUACUGUUAAAUUUAAACAAGUUAAAACUUUCAGCAACGGAUCUCUUGGUUCUCGCAUCGAUGAAGAACGCAGCGAAACGCGAUAGGUAAUGUGAAUUGCAGAAUUCCGUGAAUCAUCGAAUCUUUGAACGCACAUUGCGCCUUCUGGUAUUCCGGUAGGCAUGUCUGUUUGAGCGUCAGCAAACACCCUCAGCUUGAGUAUUUUUUCGAUAUUCAACGCUGGUUUUGGACAGUGGAUGCCGGUGGUAAAUUCUCCACCUGCGCCCUCCCUAAACUUGCUGCACGACCGCAAGCCCCUUCUAGCCAGGUCAAUGGAGUGGUGUUACAAUCUUCCAAAAAGCCUGCUGGUAACCGCUUCGUGGCGUUAAACCCAAAGGUCCCCCCCCUCACGGAGGACUGAAGUUUUGACCUCAGAUCAGACAAGGAUACCCGCUGAACUUAAGCAUAUCAAUAAGCGGAGGAAAAGAAACCAACAGGGAUUGCCUCAGUAACGGCGAGUGAAGCGGCAAGAGCUCAGAUUUGAAAUCCUGUACGUUAGCGUGCACGAGUUGUAAUCUGCAGAGAAUGUUUCGGCGGAGACACCGGUCAAAAUUCCUUGGAAUAGGGUUACAUAGAGGGUGAGAAUCCCGUAUCCGGCUGGACGUCAAUGCUAUGUGAAACUUCUUCGACGAGUCGAGUUGUUUGGGAAUGCAGCUCUAACUGGGUGGUAAAUUCCAUCUAAAGCUAAAUAUCUGCGAGAGACCGAUAGCGCACAAGUAGAGUGAUCGAAAGAUGAAAAGCACUUUGAAAAGAGAGUUAAAAAGUACGUGAAAUUGUUGAAAGGGAAGCGCUUGCCAUCAGAAUUGGGGCCGGUCGAUCAGCGUUCCUUCUGGUUCGUGCACUCGUCCGGUUUCCGUGCCAGCACCAGUUGAAGCGGCAGGACAAAGACGUCGGGAAUGUGGCUCUCUUCGGGGAGUGUUAUAGCCCGGCGUGUAAUGCUGCCAGCAUCGACUGAGGACCGCGCGUUUACGCAAGGGUGCUGGCCUAAUGGUUGUAAGCGGCC